CGAUUUGCCGAAAACUCCAAAUUCCUACUCUCAGUUGAUAUCUCUCGGCCUCAUGGCGAAUCCGGCGGAAGAACCCGACGUGAAUCCACCAAUCCGAGAACCCCAAGAAGAAGUUGAAGAACUGAACGGAGACGAAGAAGAAGAGGAUGAUUACGAAGGAGAAGACGAUGAUGAUACCGAGUCGAAAUCUCAAACUCGCGAAGGCCGGUCCAGUGUAGACAGGAUCAAAGCGGAAUCGCUUUUCCGUCGGAUGCGAGCUGCUCCUGUGCCGGUUCGUGUCCACGACGUGAUCAUCAAAGGAAACGAGAAGACCAAAGACCAUAUCAUCGAGGCGGAAUUGGAAGCUGCGAGAGAGGCGACCACGUUGCAGGAGCUUCUCGAAGCUUCUAGGGUUGCUAAUUCGAAUCUCCGAGCGUUAGAUAUCUUCGAUUCCGUUAACAUUACGCUCGAUUCUGGUCCUCCUGAGCUUCCUGGUACCACCAAUGUUGUAAUCGAAGUUGUUGAGAGCAAAAGCCCUCUCACCGGCCAAAUUGGCGUUUACACUAAAGCUGAGGCUAGAUCAUCAAGCAUUGAAGCAUCUUUGAAGUAUAAGAACAUUUUUGGCUAUGGAGAUAUUUGGGACGGGUCUAUAGUUCAUGGCUAUGACAACUCUGCUGAGGUUGCCUUGGGGAUGUAUCUGCCAAGGUUCAGAGGAUUUCGUACUCCUUUUACUUCUCGUCUUUACCUUUCGACUCAAGACUGGCUUAAGUUUUCAUCGUAUAAAGAACGUUCCCUCGGUCUUUCUCUCGGUCUUAUCUCAAGCAAGUAUCACGAGCUGGUCUACACGGUUGGGUGGCGUAAUCUGAUAGAUCCAUCCCGAACGGCUUCAAUAUCAAUAAGGAGGCAACUGGGACACAGUCUGCUUUCUGCAUUGAAGUAUACUUUCAAAUUUGACCAGAGAAACUCAUACUUGAGGCCAACUAGUGGAUAUGCUUUUAUCUCUACUUCUCAAAUUGGUGGUCUUGCUCCUGAUAGCCGAAGCUUACGCUUCUUUAAGCAGGAGAUUGAUCUUCGUUAUGCUGUUCCGUUCGGGUUUUACAACGCUGCUCUCAACUUUGGUGUAUCUGGGGGUGUCUCCUUUCCGUGGGGAAGCGGAUACCAGAACCGUCCUUCCUCUGUGCCAGAGAGAUUCUUCUUGGGUGGCAAUUCAUCGCCUCUAUGCUCUUUAGGUGGGCCAUCUGCACUAUGGGGAUUCAAGACCAGAGGACUUGGUCCCAACGAGCCAAAGAGGAAAGGCGAUAAUGAACGGGAUUUUGUUGGAGGAGAUGCAGCGGUGACUGCGUUUGCGGAUCUCUCAUUUGAUUUGCCAGUAAGAUGGUUAAGAGAGAGAGGAAUCCACGGGCAUGUGUUUGCAUCUGCGGGGAAUAUGGCAAAGUUAUCAGAGAAUGAGUUUAGGAACUUCACUGCUCCAAAGUUCUUGGAUACAUUCAGAACUUCAGUUGGUGCUGGAAUCGUCUUACCAACUAGUGUAUUCCGUAUGGAGCUUAACUACUGCCAUAUAUUGAAGAAACAAGAACACGAUCAAGCGAGAUCAGGGGUUUGCGUCACAUUCUCUGCCUCGUCCUGAGAAAUUUUAGCUGAAGAAAGGACUAGUAACAAGGAAUUUAUUGCUGGAAUGCCACUUAGGGGAAAAUUUUGAUUUUGCGUACCACUUGAGAGUCUGCAUACCACCCAAAAUGUGAUAUCCCCAUUUUACCCUUAAUGAAUAAUUGUUGAAUUUACAAAAACAAAAAAAACUGUCGACGCACCUGGAAAUAUUAUCGCGAACGCUGCUCCUCUGGUCGACGGAGAAGCUCUUUUAAAACGGAAGCUCGCGAUUCGGAGCAGCUCUCAUUCCAUUACUCUUGCUCGACGGCUGCCUUCGACAUAAUAACCGCCGCGUCCUUCUUAUACUCUCGUCUGUGGCGUUUAAUUCAUGAGGCCAUGAAGAAGAAUAACCACACAAGUGUACAUUAUGACAUUGGCGGAUACUAUUCAG